CAGUCGCCGCGGUAACACGUAGGGUGCAAGCGUUAAUCGGAAUUACUGGGCGUAAAGCGUGCGCAGGCGGUUCCGCAAGUCAGAUGUGAAAUCCCCGGGCUCAACCUGGGAACUGCAUUUGAAACUACGGGGCUAGAGUGUGUCAGAGGGGGGUGGAAUUCCACGUGUAGCAGUGAAAUGCGUAGAGAUGUGGAGGAACACCAAUGGCGAAGGCAGCCCCCUGGGAUGACACUGACGCUCAUGCACGAAAGCGUGGGGAGCAAACAGGAUUAGAUACCCCAGUAGUCCCUGUCUCUUAUAC
rnacentral:rRNA from 1 species